CCGGACCGAUCGCGUGCUCCUUCCGACCGUUCUCUCUCAGUGCAGACGGUGCGGCUCGGGGGCAGACGCACCCGGAGGCCUGCCGGAGCCCACGUCUGUUUCUCCUUCCUCAUGCAGACGCUGCUGGCAGCCACCCUCUCAAGCCUCCACGGUGAAAUAUCCACCCUUGUGGCCGAAGGGGCGCAGAUGGAAACUCGGAACGGGGUUCUUCUAGCCGAGGUGGCCCAGUGGCAGCAGAAGGUGGCUGUGCUCGAGGAGGGGCUGCGGGAAGCCACGGAAGCGCGGGGGGCCGCGGAGGCCGAGAAGGAGCACUGCGACGCGCGGCAGAACGUGCUCCAGGAGAGCUUGCACGGCUACCUGGCUGAGAUCGCCUCCCUCCAGCGCCGGCUCCAGGCCCGCUCCUCCUCCUCCACCCGCCGCAGGUGCCCCCCCUUCUGAAACCUGGAGCACCUCUCCCAUCCCUGAGAGGUGAGGCUGCGAGCCGAAUCAGUGUGGGGCACCCAACCCUACAGCUCCCAGGCCAGCCCGGCUCAGUGCUCCAACCACCUACAACAGCCUUCUCUUUGUUGCGUAACUUCGGAGAAGCGGCGCGAAAGGCUGAACCAGCUCCCUUGGGGCGAAUUGCUAGUGCCUUUGAAGUGGUGGGAACCGAUGGGGGGCUUCAUCACACCUUUCCCCCCACCCUGAAUAAUGGACCUGCAGAGUGGUUAUCUGUGCAAGGAAGAGCCAGCAAGAAGAGCUCAAAACACUCAUGAAGACCAGAACCGGGAGAGCUGUAUCCAAGGAACUGUAAUUUCCCCGUUGAAUUAAAUUGCCAGGUUUCAGAGUC